GGAAGUAAGAGUCGUAACAAGGUUUCCGUAGGUGAACCUGCGGAAGGAUCAUUAUUGUAUAACCGAGGUGCGAGGGCUGUCGCUGACCCGAAAGGUCGUGCACGCCCGAGUGCCCUCACACACAUCCAUCUCACCCCUAUGUGCACCACCGCGUGGGUCCCCCUUUGGCUUGUUCGGAGGGGGGCUUACGUUUUCACACAAACUUUGUAUGCAGUGUAGAAUGUAUUUUUUGUUUUUGCGAUCACGCAAUCAAUACGACUUUCAACAACGGAUCUCUUGGCUCUC
rnacentral:misc_RNA from 1 species